AUGGGGAGACCCUCGCCGAUCCGUCCACUCCUCCUGCUCGUCCUCGCCUGGCUCCGGCGUGCCGAGGCAGGCACGGUCCGGACGGAGCUCGUCACGCCGGACUUCGCGGCGUCGUACCUGCUCUUCAUCGACACCCUCGGCGUGUUCCUCCGCUCCCGCAGCGGCGCCUUCGAGGCCGCGGUGCACGGCCCGGCGGGGCAGCAGGACCGCUACUACCUCGCCGUGCUGCACGCGCCGUCCGGGACCUGCGUCUGGGCCGCCAACCGCGCCGCGCCCAUCACCGACCGCGCCGCGCCGUUCCGGCUCUCGUCCGCGGGCGUCUCCGCCGAGGACGCCAACGGGACCGUCGUCUGGUCCACGCCCCCGUUCGCGUCCCCCGUGGCCGCGCUCCGGCUGGCCGACUCCGGCAACCUUGCGCUGCUCGACGGGCAGAAUGGCACGCUCUGGCAGUCCUUCGACCGCCCCACGGACUCACUCGUGUCGUCGCAGCGGCUCCCCGCCGGCGGGUUCCUGGCAUCCGCCGCGUCGGCCUCGGACCUGGCCGAGGGGGACUACCGCCUCAAUGUCACCGCCGCCGACACCGUGCUCUCAUGGAUGGGGUCCCUGUACUGGCGGCUGUCGGGCGAAGCCAUCGCCGUCAAGGACCGCGACGGCACGGUCGCGUACAUGGCCGUGAACGGCACGGGGCUAUACCUUCUCGCGGCGGACGACACCGUCAUCGUCCAGGCCGCGAUGCCACCUGCCGGGCUACGCAUCGUUCAGCUGGGCGUGGACGGGAAGCUGCAAAUCUCAAGCUUCGCGUCGGCGAACUCGUCGUCGUCGCCCAUGGACGGCGGGACCGUGGCGCCGAGCAGGGGAUGUGCUCUUCCGCUCUCGUGCGGCGCGCUCGGCCUCUGCACGCCCGACGGCAACGCCUCAAUCUGCACGUGCCCGCCGCCGUUCCCCACAGCGCACGACAACGGCUGUGCGCCGUCCGUUGGCUCCACAUUGCUGCCCGACGGCUAUUGCGGCGGCCGCGCCGGCGGCAGGCCGACGACCUCGUAUCUCAGCCUUGGAAGUGGCAUUGCGUACUACGCCAACAAGUUCUCGCCGCCGGCCAUGGCCGGGUCCAACGCGUCGUCGUGCCAGACGCUCUGCAGCAGCAACUGCUCCUGCCUCGGCUACUUCUACGACUCAUCCUCCUUGUCUUGCUACUUGGCGCAACACCAGCUUGCUUCGUUCAUCAACACCAACGCGAGCAACGGCGCCGGCAUGUCCGGGUACAUCAAGGUGCAGAGCUCGCCAAGGUCGUCGCCGGACAGUUCUUCUUCCAACAAGACGCUCAUCGCCAUCCUGCUCCCAACCAUCAUCGCAUUUGUGCUCGUCGUCGUCGUCGGCGCGUUCGUCAUCGCGUCACGGCGUCGUAAGGACGAGCAGCGCGUGGGGAGGCGCGCUUCGCGGUCCCGGGACGUGCAGCUCCGGCGGCAGCGCUCGCCGGGGUCAGCCUCGGCGCACCUCGUGCGCGAUCUGGACAACGACGACGACGGCGACGACGACAUCGUCAUCCCCGGCCUCCCCACCAGGUUCACGCACGACGAGAUCGAGGCCAUGACCAACAGCUACCGCACCAAGAUCGGCGCCGGCGGGUUCGGGGCCGUGUACAAGGGCGAACUCCCGGACGGAUCGCUGGUGGCCGUGAAGAAGAUCGAAGGCGUCGGGACGCAGGGGAAGCGCGAGUUCAUGACGGAGAUCGCCGUGAUCGGCAACAUCCACCACGUGAACCUGGUCCGCCUCCGGGGAUUCUGCACCGAGGGCCACCGGCGCCUGCUGGUGUACGAGUACAUGAACCGCGGCUCCCUCGACCGGCCCCUGUUCCGGCCGGCGGGCCCUCUGCUCGAGUGGAAGGAGCGGGUGGACAUCGCCAUCGGCGCGGCGAGGGGGCUCGCCUACCUCCACUUCGGGUGCAACCAGAGGAUCAUCCACUGCGACGUGAAGCCGGAGAACAUCCUGCUCGCCGACGGCGGGCAGGUGAAGAUCGCCGACUUCGGGCUCGCCAAGUUCCUCACGCCGGAGCAGUCCGGGCUGUUCACGACGAUGCGGGGCACGCGCGGGUACCUGGCGCCGGAGUGGCUGACCAACACGGCCAUCACGGACCGCACCGACGUGUACGGCUUCGGCAUGGUGCUCCUGGAGCUGGUGCACGGCCGCAAGAACCGCAGCGAGCACGUGAGCGACGGCGCCGGCGUCGGCGGCGAGGACUCCAACUCCUCGAACGGCACGGCGGGCGGCUCGUCGCGCGGCGGGAGGAACGACUACUUCCCGCUGGUGGCGCUGGAGGGGCACGAGGGCGGGCGGUACGCGGAGCUGGCGGACCCGCGGCUGGAGGGGCGGGUGGUGGGCAAGGAGGUGGAGAGGAUGGUGAAGGUGGCGCUGUGCUGCCUGCACGAGGACCCGCACACGCGGCCGAGCAUGGCGGUGGUGGCCGGCAUGCUGGAGGGCACCAUGGAGCUGGGCGAGCCGCGCGCGCAGGCGCUCGGGUUCCUCCGGCUGUACGGCCGGGGGUUCGCCGGGCCCUCCGAGGGCGACGUCAUGAAGCAGGCGAUGGUGGGCGAUCGCACCCGGUCGGAGACGACGAUGACGACGAUGAGCGGGUGGCCGUCGUACAUGUCCUCGUCGCAGCUGUCCGGCGCGAGAUAG
rnacentral:rRNA from 1 species